UGUUUCGGCUAGGGGGCCAUCCCGGCUUACCAACCCGAUGCAAACUGCGAAUACCGGAGAAUGUUAUCACGGGAGACACACGGCGGGUGCUAACGUCCGUCGUGAAGAGGGAAACAACCCAGACCGCCAGCUAAGGUCCCAAAGUCAUGGUUAAGUGGGAAACGAUGUGGGAAGGCCCAGACAGCCAGGAUGUUGGCUUAGAAGCAGCCAUCAUUUAAAGAAAGCGUAAUAGCUCACUGGUCGAGUCGGCCUGCGCGGAAGAUGUAACGGGGCUAAACCAUGCACCGAAGCUGCGGCAGCGAACGUAUCACUUAAAGCGAUUCAGCGGGUUACGAUUGACGGAGCGAAGCGACGUCAAAGCGUAUACAAAGUCGAGUCGGUUUAAGGAUACGUUCGUUGGGUAGGGGAGCGUUCUGUAAGCCUGUGAAGGUGGCCUGUGAGGGUUGCUGGAGGUAUCAGAAGUGCGAAUGCUGACAUAAGUAACGAUAAAGCGGGUGAAAAGCCCGCUCGCCGGAAGACCAAGGGUUCCUGUCCAACGUUAAUCGGGGCAGGGUGAGUCGACCCCUAAGGCGAGGCCGAAAGGCGUAGUCGAUGGGAAACGGGUUAAUAUUCCCGUACUUGGUGUUACUGCGAAGGGGGGACGGAGAAGGCUAUGUUGGCCGGGCGACGGUUGUCCCGGUUUAAGCGUGUAGGUGUGUGUUCCAGGUAAAUCCGGUUCACUUUAACACUGAGGCGUGACGACGAGGCACUACGGUGCUGAAGCAACAAAUGCCCUGCUUCCAGGAAAAGCCUCUAAGCAUCAGGUAACAUCAAAUCGUACCCCAAACCGACACAGGUGGUCAGGUAGAGAAUACCAAGGCGCUUGAGAGAACUCGGGUGAAGGAACUAGGCAAAAUGGUGCCGUAACUUCGGGAGAAGGCACGCUGACACGUAGGUGAAGUGAUUUACUCA
rnacentral:rRNA from 1 species